rnacentral:lncRNA from 1 species
GGUCCAUAAAGCAAAGCUGAAGCUGCACAGAAGCCAUUCCGUUAAGCCAAAGCUGUGGCUCAUAAAUUAUUUGACUUUUGUACAUGUUUGAAAUGGUGGUGCCAAUCCUGACCAGCAGAGAUCCCAGACUGAGUCCUGCCUUGGAACCUGACAGCCUGCAUUUCCUGAGUUAACAGGCCCAGCACAAGGUUGCUCGCACCACCCUUCCUCAGGCAAGAAGCCCUUUUCACAUUGCUGACUACACAUGAGGGAACUACCACUGACUCCUAAUCCAGAUCCUAAAGUACUUCCAGUAAUACAAAGACUUUGUACCCAGUGUUUGGCUUCUGUGGGAAUGGUCUGAGGUUUUCUGAGGACAAGACAUACCCUAUCUCAUGAUUGUUUCAAUUCAUAUCCUAUCUGGAGCAAAAGGCUUUGUCUGAAGCUGUCAUGACGUCGCUAGCUGAAACUGCCAGAGGAUUUUUGUUGGACCUGAACUUCUCUAUGGUGGAAAUAGCUCCUGAGCACUGAAUCACAGCAGUACAAGAGCAGAGCAGUUUUACAGUUUUAUCUCCUCUGCAGGCAAACAUUCCUUCUCCUACAGAUCACCAUAAGGGUAACAAAACUUUAUCAGCAUGACUAACACCAUAAUGCCUUGAUUCACUUAACAGUAUAGAUAUCUUUUGUACCAGCCCAUUGGAAGAUAGAAUUUCCUAAAAUUUAAAGCAAGUUUUGAUCAUGCAGUACUCUACCAAGCAGAGUUAGAAUCACCCAUGGCUUUGCUCUUGCC